GACGAACGCUGGCGGCGUGCUUAACACAUGCAAGUCGAACGGAGAUGCCCCAGCUUGCUGGAGUGGAUCAGUGGCGAACGGGUGAGUAACACGUGAGCAACCUGCCCCAGACUCUGGAAUAAGCGCUGGAAACGGCGUCUAAUACUGGAUACGAAACUGGCCCGCAUGGGCGUGGUUGGGAAAGUUCUGCGGUUUGGGAUGGGCUCGCGGCCUAUCAGCUUGUUGGUGGGGUAGUGGCUCACCAAGGCGACGACGGGUAGCCGGCCUGAGAGGGCGACCGGCCACACUGGGACUGAGACACGGCCCAGACUCCUACGGGAGGCAGCAGUGGGGAAUAUUGCACAAUGGGCGGAAGCCUGAUGCAGCGACGCCGCGUGAGGGAUGACGGCCUUCGGGUUGUAAACCGCUUUCAGCAGGGAAGAAGCGAAAGUGACGGUACCUGCUGAAGAAGCACCGGCUAACUACGUG
rnacentral:rRNA from 1 species